GUGAGGGGGAGGGGAGGGGAGACACAGUUCUACCCGCCAGCACCCCCUCAUCCUCCCCUCGCCUCACAAUUGGCAGUAACGAGGGGAAUGAGGCCUGGCGACACAUAAAUGGCGCCACCGGGCUCAGGAGGGACCAGUAUCCAGCGGCCGUGGGCGAGUGUGGACUCCUUGCUUGCCGGGGCACCACUUCCUCCUCCUCCUCCUUCUGCUUCCCCACCAGCAGGAGAGGGGGAAAGAUAGAGGAGGAGAAGGAGGAAGAAAGAAGACGAACAUGAAGGAGAACUUAGAAGGAAAGUAAACAAGAUGGAGUUUGAAAAGAGUGUGGACGACUGGUGCCCGGGGCGCGCCUGUUGCUUCACCACAGGCACGAGACUGAAGAACAACAACAUGAGAAAGAGCAAAGAAGCAUAUGAAUAAGAUUAAGGGAGAAGAAAAGAGGAAAGAAGACGAGGAGAGAAUAAGGAGGAAAAGGGAGAAGAGGAAAACCCAAAUAAACAACGUGUCAAGAUAAAGGGAAACAGUGAAAAGGUAAAGGAACAGAGGUCUGUCCCACUGUUGUUGUGUGACCCUGUGGAGGACCCCCCUCCCCUCCCCUUCACCUAUAUACAGAAGCGUGUCACAAACUCCGCCUUCUGCAUCGGCUAGGGAGGAUGCACGCCCUUACUGUGAGGGCUUUGUACUCUCUUUCCCAAGGUCAAGGUAUGUGUCCCUCCUGAAGAAAACUGUCAAGGUAUGUGUCCCCCUGAAGAAAACUGUCAAGGUAUGUGUCCCCCUGAAGGAAAUUCCAAGAAAUGUGUCCCUCUGAAGUAAAAAAAAAAAGAUAUGUGCUCCUGUGAAGACUAAAACAGACAAGAAGACUAAGAAAGGAAACAAAAAAGUUUUUCUGGUGAAAUAAAGAGGAAAACAUCUACUUUAUGGCCAGAGAAAGAGGAAGAGAGAGAGAGAGAAAGAAAACGAAUAUAAGCCCCUAUUCGUGCGACCACACCCAAAAAAAAAUAUAUAAAAGAAAAUGGAAGGAGAAUGUAUUUCUUUCUUGCAAAUAGAACGAAAGAAAGAAAGAGAGAGAGAGACACACACAGCUGAAUCACCAGCCUGAGGACCUCGACCCGCUGCUGUGCACUGGUUCUGGGGGACACACGGGGGUGUUACCAGACAUAAAAGGAAGAGUCAAGUUUUCCUUCACAGCCCCGCCAUGACCCACAACCUUACCUCAGCUCGUGUAGAGGAGGAGGGGCUCGUUCAAGAGGAUGUCGACGGCAGUAUUAUCGACGUCGACUUAAACAAUUCGACACACCAGGCGUCAACGUAAGGGGGGGAGGAGGAGGUGUCGACGACUUUAUCACUGACGUCGACUUAAAUUGUUCCAUCAAGCAGGCGUUAUGUAAAGGGGUGUCGACUGUAACAUUGACGUCGACUCAACAACCCGACACACCUGGAGUCGAUGCAAGGAGGAAUGUCGACUGUACCAUUGACGUCGAUUCAACAACCCGGCGCAAGGGGAGGGGGAAGAAGAGGAGGAGGAGAAGGAAGAGGGGAUGUCGACUCAGCCAUAACAACUCGAUACACCUGGACCCCGAGAUCACAUCGACUCUGUCUCGACCCCAACACUCGACCCAUUUAAGAGAAAGAUGGCUGAAUGGCUGACUCUGGUGGGAUAACAAGAUCACACACCCUCGACACUCGUUCCUAUUUACAAGUGUUGAACCAAAAGAAGACAUCGACGAACCAGGGAGAUAAAUAGACGACAUAACAUAAGGAGAGCAAGAAGAGAAAGUCAGGAAGAGAGAAAACGUCAGAUGUGAAGGGAAGUAAGACAGAGGUGAAUAAAGUGCUAGACAACAAAUGAUGGCCACAGCAAGAAAAGGCGAUAUAAAAACAAGACGUUGAAUAACCGGGAGGCGAAGAGAAAGCAGCAGUAAGACAAGAGAAAGAGGCGGAGGAGGAGGAAUGAGAAGAGAUAGCACGAAGGAGGAAAAGGAGGAGAAAUGAAAGAAUGUCGCAAGAAGAAGGAGGAAGAAGAAGGAAGACGAGGAGAAAAAAGAGGAAGAGGAAAAAAGGAAGAAAAUGAGGAGAAAGGGAAGAGGAAGGAAGAGGACAACAGACGCGGUGGCAGAAAUGACACCAAUGAGGGCCAGGCACAAGAUUUGCCAGGAGGAACGUCACGACUCAGCUGGUGCGUGACGUCAGAGAUCACGCGAUCGUUGUCUGAGGGACGACGAGGUGGCAGAACACAAGAUAACAGUGAACAUUAAAAAUAAAGUAAUAGAUUAGUUCUACCAGUGAAAGAAAAUUGUGUAUGAUAUGAACGAAUACACUGAAAAUAGAUAUACAGGUACAGUAUAUGUAUUUUGAUGUAAAAGGAGGCUGUAUGUCACGUAUUUACCCACCAAUCAGAACUACCGGAUGUCAAUUAUACAGGAGUAAUAACAAUGAUGACGUAUACAGUAUUAUGCCGCAUGUUUUUAUUGUUUUAAUCAUUGUACUUUCAUUUCUUUCGUCUGUUAUGUCUUAUAUAUAUCAAUGAAAAUUUAUUACAUGUGCUAGUAGUCUUGUCUAAUUGUCAGUGAAAAAAUUGCAGGCGCUCUUUUUUUCAAACAAAUCUUAAUGUAUGGAAAGUUUAAACUUGUAUGGGUGUACAAGGUAUAGAUUCUUAGUCCAGUUAGUUUUAAAAUUUGCUUUACAAAUAUGAUUUUUUUUAAAUGACAAAGAAAAAACUUAUUAGUGUUCAAGAU